rnacentral:rRNA from 1 species
GGUGAGUAAUGUCUGGGAAACUGCCUGAUGGAGGGGGAUAACUACUGGAAACGGUAGCUAAUACCGCAUAACGUCGCAAGACCAAAGAGGGGGACCUUCGGGCCUCUUGCCAUCAGAUGUGCCCAGAUGGGAUUAGCUUGCUGGUGGGGUAACGGCUCACCAAGGCGACGAUCCCUAGCUGGUCUGAGAGGAUGACCAGCCACACUGGAACUGAGACACGGUCCAG